UUCAAAUUUUGAUCGGGGCACACAAUGAUCUUGCUAUACCUGAACCAACAAGAAAGGGCAUACGACAUCUUGGAGCAUCAACAGAGUACUGCAGAUCUCCUAAACACAUGCUAAACUCAGAAUAGUCUUCAGAAGUUUGUACAGAGAAAUUCAAGCUGCGAUAACUGGGGCACCUAGUUCUUAUUAGAUUGAAUGUAUU
rnacentral:lncRNA from 1 species